AGACUGGAGGGUGACAGUGACCAGAGCAAGUUUAACCUUUUAAAGAGGAAGGAUCUGUUGCUUGGCUACCAGGCAACAAGGAAGGCUACUCAGAGAGGGGUCCCCACAAGGGAUGAGGGACAAGUUGCCUAACCCUGUGGCAGACGGCUCUGCUUCUCUUCAUGGUCUUGAAUACGGACCAGGCCGUCCUCAUGGCUGUGGGAACAUGACACCAACCCAGAGGCCCUCUAGAGUGCUUUUUCUGGUGACAUCCUUGCCUAGCCCUUCCAUGUGUCUGAUCUACUCUAAAAAGCCUAAAACUAAGUGAGCUGGUCUACUCAGCCACCGCCUUUCAGAGGAGGAGUUCGUUUGUCUCCAGAGGAGGAGUUUUAUGAGGACGAUAUUAAGGUAUUCAUUAGAAAUGGCCAUGCAAGGCCGGGCGCGGUGGCUCACGCCUGUAAUCCCAGCACUUUGGGAGGCCGAAGUAGGCAGAUCACGAGGUCAGGAGAUCGAGACCAUCCUGGCUAACACAGUGAAACCCCGUCUCUACUAAAAAUACAAACAAAUUAGCCGAAUGUGAUGGCGGGCGCCUGUAGUCCCAGCUACUCAAGAGGCUGAGGCAGGAGAAUCGCUUGAACCUGGGAGGCGGGGGUUGCAGUGAGUUGAGAUCACGCCACUGCACUCCAGCCUGGGCAACAGAGACAGACUCCGUCUCAAAAAACAAACAAACAAACAAAAACAACUUCCUGCGCUCUUCUCCCCUAGGCCCAAGCAACCGCCAUUCUACCUCCUGCCUCUGUGAAUUUGACUACUCUGGGUACCUCAUAAAUUUGAGGAAGUGGCUCUAUCAUGAUUUAGUUAACUGUUCUCUUAGGAUUGAUUACACAGAUUGUUUCUGAUUUUUCCUUAUUAUCAGUAAUGUGGCAACAAAUAUAUUUGUGCAACC
rnacentral:lncRNA from 10 species